rnacentral:tRNA from 4 species
GCUCCCAUAGUUCAAUGGACAGAACUGGCGCGUCCUAAGCGUCUGAUGGUGGUUCGAUUCCGCCUGGGAGCA